rnacentral:rRNA from 1 species
CCUGGACCCGAAGCGGGAUGAUCUAGCCCUGGGCAGGUUGAAGCGCGGGUAAGACCGCGUGGAGGACCGAACCCACCUGGGUUGAAAACCGGGGGGAUGACCUGGGGCUAGGGGUGAAAGGCCAAUCAAAUUCCGUGAUAGCUGGUUCUCUCCGAAAUGCAUUUAGGUGCAGCGUCGGUCGAUUGCGUCGCGGGGGUAGAGCUACCGGAUGCUUGCGGGCCCUUGUUGGGUACCAACAGCAGCCGAACUCCGAAUACCGUUGACGUGUAUUCCGGCAGUGAGUCGGCGGGGGAUAAGCUCCGUCGUCGAGAGGGAGACAGCCCAGACCGUCGUCUAAGGUCCCGAAGCGUGUGCUAAGUGGGAAAGGAUGUGGAGUCGCAUAGACAGCCAGGAGGUUGGCUCAGAAGCAGCCAUCCUUGAAAGAGUGCGUAACAGCUCACUGGUCUAGUGGUUCCGCGCCGACAAUGUAGCGGGGCUCAAGCACACCACCGAAGACGCGGCAGCGCAUUUGAUGCGCUGGGUAGGAGAGCGUCCUGCAUGGGGCGAAGCGGCCGGGUAACCGUGCCGUGGACCGUGUGGGAGUGAGAAUGCAGACAUGAGUAGCGAGAGACGGGUGAGGAUCCCGUCCGCUGGAUGACCAAGGGUUCCGGGGCCACGUUCGUCGUCCCCGGGUGAGUCGGGUCCUAAGGCGAGGCCGACAGGCGUAGUCGAAUGGAUGAACGGGUGGAUAUUCCCGUACCGACCAUGGACCGGCAAAACCGAGACGGUGAGUACUAACCUCCGCCUCGUGGUGGUUCCUUCCUUCGGGUUGGUCCCGCCGCGUGGUGUUGGGACUGUAGCCGUAGUAGGUCAGCGCAGGGGUGACACGGAAUGGGAGCCGGCCGCGGAGGUGGUUUUCCGUGGUCAAGCACGCAGCCAGUCAUGUAGGCAAAUCCGCAUGGCAUGCAUGGCGAGGUGUGAUGAUGGGAGCCUUUUGGGCUCGAUAUCCGGUUGUCCAGGCCGUCGAGAAAAGCCUCGGCGUGAGGGCCAUGGCCGCCCGUACCCCAAACCGACACUGGUGGUCAGGUAGAGAAUACCAAGGCGAUCGAGCGAAUCCUGGUCAAGGAACUCGGCAAAUCACUCCCGUGCCUUCGGUAUAAGGGAGACCCGCUGGGGUGAACCGGCUAGCCCGGGGAGCUUUGGUGGGUGGCACAGACCAGGGGGUAGCGACUGUUUACCAAAAACACAGGUGCAUGCGAAGGCGAAAGCCGCUGUAUAUGCACUGACGCCUGCCCGGUGCCGGAAGGUUAAGAGGAUCCGUCAAUCCUUCGGGACGAAGCGGUGAAUUCAAGCCCCGGUAAACGGCGGUGGUAACUAUAACCAUCCUAAGGUAGCGAAAUUCCUUGUCGGGUAAGUUCCGACCUGCACGAAUGGCGUAACGACUUCCCCACUGUCUCGACCAGGAGCUCGGCGAAAUUGCAGUACGAGUAAAGAUGCUCGUUAAGCGCAGAAGGACGAAAAGACCCCGGGACCUUUACUAUACCUUGGUAUUGGCGUUAGGCGCGGAUUGUGUAGCAUAGGCGGGAGGCUUCGAAGCGUGGGCGCCAGCUCAUGUGGAGCCGCAAGGUGAAAUACCGCUCUGUUCUCGUUUGACGUCUAACCUCGACAAGUCAUCCUUGUCAGGGACAGUGCCUGGCGGGUAGUUCAACUGGGGCGGUUGCCUCCCAAAGAGUAACGGAGGCGCUCAAAGGUCCGCUCAGCCCGGUUGGCAAUCGGGUGUCGAGUGUAAUCGCACAAGCGGGCUUGACUGCGAGGACGACGGUCCGAGCAGGGACGAAAGUCGGAGAUAGUGAUCCGGUGCCGGCGCACGGGCGCGGCAUCGCUCAACGGAUAAAAGGUACCCCGGGGAUAACAGGCUGAUCAUUCCCAAGAGUCCAUAUCGACGGGAUGGUUUGGCACCUCGAUGUCGGCUCGUCGCAUCCUGGGGCUGGAGCAGGUCCCAAGGGUUCGGCUGUUCGCCGAUUAAAGCGGCACGCGAGCUGGGUUCAGAACGUCGUGAGACAGUUUGGUCUCUAUCCUCUGCGCUCGUUGGAAUCCUGAGGAGGCCUGCCCAUAGUACGAGAGGACCUGGGUGGACGAACCUCUGGUAUGCCGGUUGUCGCGCCAGCGGCACGGCCGGUUGGCUACGUUCGGGAGGGAUAACCGCUGAAAGCAUCUAAGCGGGAAGCCUGCUCCAAGAUUAGGAUUCCUUGACGCUCCCCGGAGCGUCCGAAGCCCGCAUGUUGA